rnacentral:rRNA from 1 species
UGGGGAAUAUUGGACAAUGGGCGAAAGCCUGAUCCAGCCAUGCCGCGUGAGUGAUGAAGGCCCUAGGGUUGUAAAGCUCUUUUGUGCGGGAAGAUAAUGACGGUACCGCAAGAAUAAGCCCCGGCUAACUUCGUGCCAGCAGCCGCGGUAAUACGAAGGGGGCUAGCGUUGCUCGGAAUCACUGGGCGUAAAGGGUGCGUAGGCGGGUUUCUAAGUCAGAGGUGAAAGCCUGGAGCUCAACUCCAGAACUGCCUUUGAUACUGGAAGUCUUGAGUUCGGGAGAGNUGAGUGGAACUGCGAGUGUAGAGGUGAAAUUCGUAGAUAUUCGCAAGAACACCAGUGGCGAAGGCGGCUCACUGGCCCGAUACUGACGCUGAGGCACGAAAGCGUGGGGAGCAAACA